rnacentral:rRNA from 1 species
GAUGAACGCUGGCGGCGUGCCUAAUACAUGCAAGUCGAGCGAAUGGAUUAAGAGCUUGCUCUUAUGAAGUUAGCGGCGGACGGGUGAGUAACACGUGGGUAACCUGCCAUAAGACUGGGAUAACUCCGGGAAACCGGGGCUAAUACCGGAUAACAUUUUGAACCGCAUGGUUCGAAAUUGAAAGGCGGCUUCGGCUGUCACUUAUGGAUGGACCCGCGUCGCAUUAGCUAGUUGGUGAGGUAACGGCUCACCAAGGCAACGAUGCGUAGCCGACCUGAGAGGGUGAUCGGCCACACUGGGACUGAGAGACGGCCCAGACUCCUACGGGAGGCAGCAGUAGGGAAUCUUCCGCAAUGGACGAAAGUCUGACGGAGCAACGCCGCGUGAGUGAUGAAGGCUUUCGGGUCGUAAAACUCUGUUGUUAGGGAAGAACAAGUGCUAGUUGAAUAAGCUGGCACCUUGACGGUACCUAACCAGAAAGCCACGGCUAACUACGUGCCAGCAGCCGCGGUAA